GACAGAGGUGGCAAGCGUUGUCCGGAGUCACUGGGCGUAAAGGGCGCGCAGGCGGCAUCAUUAGUGCCAGGUGAAAGUCCCCGGCUCAACCGUGGGAGGGCAUGGCAAACUAGGUCGCUUGAGCUGCGUAGAGGACCCCCGAAUUGCCGGUGUAGCGGUGAAAUGCGUAGAGAUCGGCAGGAAGACCGAGGGGGAAGCCAGGCGUCUGGCCGUAUGCUGACGCUGAGGCGCGACAGCGUGGGGAGCAAACAGG
rnacentral:rRNA from 1 species